rnacentral:rRNA from 1 species
GAUGAACGCUGGCGGCGUGCCUAAUACAUGCAAGUCGAGCGAAUGGAUUAAGAGCUUGCUCUUAUGAAGUUAGCGGCGGACGGGUGAGUAACACGUGGGUAACCUGCCCAUAAGACUGGGAUAACUCCGGGAAACCGGGGCUAAUACCGGAUAACAUUUUGAACCGCAUGGUUCGAAAUUGAAAGGCGGCCUCGGCUGUCACUUAUGGAUGGACCCGCGUCGCAUUAGCUAGUUGGUGAGGUAACGGCUCACCAAGGCAACGAUGCGUAGCCGACCUGAGAGGGUGAUCGGCCACACUGGGACUGAGACACGGCCCAGACGCCUGCGGGAGGCAGCAGUAGGGAAUCUUCCGCAAUGGACGAAAGUCUGACGGAGCAACGCCGCGUGAGUGAUGAAGGCUUUCGGGUCGUAAAACUCUGUUGUUAGGGAAGAACAAGUGCUAGUUGAAUAAGCUGGCACCUUGACGGUACCUAACCAGAAAGCCACGGCUAACUACGUGCCAGCCGCCGCCGUAA